rnacentral:rRNA from 1 species
AACUUAGCAGAGAUGCUUUGGUGCCUUCGGGAACUCUGAGACAGGUGCUGCAUGGCUGUCGUCAGCUCGUGUUGUGAAAUGUUGGGUUAAGUCCCGCAACGAGCGCAACCCUUAUCCUUUGUUGCCAGCGGUCCGGCCGGGAACUCAAAGGAGACUGCCAGUGAUAAACUGGAGGAAGGUGGGGAUGACGUCAAGUCAUCAUGGCCCUUACGAGUAGGGCUACACACGUGCUACAAUGGCGCAUACAAAGAGAAGCGACCUCGCGAGAGCAAGCGGACCUCAUAAAGUGCGUCGUAGUCCGGAUUGGAGUCUGCAACUCGACUCCAUGAAGUCGGAAUCGCUAGUAAUCGUAGAUUAGAAUGCUACGGUGAAUACGUUCCCGGGCCUUGUACACACCGCCCGUCACACCAUGGGAGUGGGUUGCAAAAGAAGUAGGUAGCUUAACCUUCGGGAGGGCGCUUACCACUUUGUGAUUCAUGACUGGGGUGAAGUCGUAACAAGGUAAGCGUAGCGAG